rnacentral:rRNA from 1 species
AGAGUUUGAUCAUGGUUUAGAUUGAACGCUGGCGGUAUGCUUAACAUAUGUAAGUCGAAUGGUAGCGCGGAGAGUUUGUUCUCUGGUGACGAGUGGCGGACGGGUGAGUAACGCGUGGGAAUUUACCUAGUAGUUGGGGAUAACUUGUGGAAAUGCAAGUUAAUACCGGAUGUGGUCUACGGACUAAAGCAGGGGAUCUUUGGACCUUGCGCUAUUAGAUGAGCCCGCGUUAGAUUAGCUAGAUGGUGGGGUAAAGGCCUAUUAUGGCGAUGAUUUAUAGCUGGUCUGAGAGGACGAUCAGCCACACUGGGAUUGAGAUAUGGCCCAGACUCCUACGGGAGGUAGUAGUGGGGAAUAUUGGACAAUGGGCGUAAGCCUGAUCCAGCAAUACCGCGUGUGUGAAGAAGGCCUGCGGGUUGUAAAGCACUUUUAAUUGUGAAGAAAAGAUUAGGGUUAAUAGCCUUGAUCCUUGACGUUAACUUUAGAAGAAGUAUCGGCUAACUCCGUGCCAGUAGUUGUGGUAAUACGGAGGGUGCGAGCGUUAAUCGGAAUUACUGGGCGUAAAGCGUGCGUAGGCGGACUGUUAAGUCAGAUGUGAAAGUCCCGGGUUCAACCUGGGAACUGCAUUUGAUACUGGCAGUCUUGAGUGUAGUAGAGGGGGGUAGAAUUCCUAGUGUAGUGGUGAAAUGUGUAGAUAUUAGGAGGAAUAUUAGUGGUGAAGGUGGCCCCCUGGAUUAACACUGACGCUGAGGUAUGAAAGCGUGGGGAGUAAACAGGAUUAGAUAUCCUGGUAGUUUACGCCGUAAACGAUGUCAACUAGUUGUUGGGUCCUUCGGGACUUAGUGACGCAGUUAAUGCGUGAAGUUGACCGCCUGGGGAGUACGGCCGCAAGGUUAAAACUCAAAUGAAUUGACGGGGGCCCGCAUAAGUGGUGGAGCAUGUGGUUUAAUUUGAUGCAAUGUGAAGAAUUUUACCUACCCUUGAUAUCAUCAGAAUUUGUUAGAGAUAACUUGGUGCCUUCGGGAACUGAUAGACAGGUGCUGUAUGGUUGUCGUCAGCUCGUGUCGUGAGAUGUUGGGUUAAGUCCCGCAACGAGCGCAACCCUUGUCCUUAGUUGCCAGUAUGUAAAGGUGGGAACUUUAAGGAGACUGCCGGUGAUAAACCGGAGGAAGGUGGGGAUGACGUCCAGUCAUCAUGGCCCUUAUGGGUAGGGCUACACACGUGCUACAAUGGUACAUACAGAGGGUGGCGAAGCAGUAAUGUGAAGCAAAUCCCACAAAAUGUAUCGUAGUCCGGAUUGGGGUCUGCAAUUUGACCCCAUGAAGUCGGAAUCGCUAGUAAUCGUAGAUUAGAAUGCUACGGUGAAUACGUUCCCGGGCCUUGUAUACACCGCCCGUCACACCAUGGGAGUGGGCUGCAAAAGAAGUGGGUAGCAUAACCUUUGGGGGUGCGCUCACCAUUUUGUGGUUCAUGACUGGGGUGAAGUCGUAACAAGGUA